rnacentral:rRNA from 1 species
GCAGUAGCCACGGUAAUACGGAGGGUGCAAGCGUUAUCCGGAUUUAUUGGGUUUAAAGGGUCCGUAGGCGGAUCUGUAAGUCAGUGGUGAAAUCUCACAGCUUAACUGUGAAACUGCCAUUGAUACUGCAGGUCUUGAGUAAAUUUGAAGUGGCUGGAAUAAGUAGUGUAGCGGUGAAAUGCAUAGAUAUUACUUAGAACACCAAUUGCGAAGGCAGGUCACUAAGAUUUAACUGACGCUGAUGGACGAAAGCGUGGGGAGCGAACAGGAUUAGAGACCCGAGUAGUCCCUGUCUCUUAUAC